AGUACCAGGAGGAGGAAGAUGGGGAAAAGGACCUUUAGGGCACGGUCGGGAUGGCAGGGAGUAAAUGCACAUUCAACACCAGAAACUCAGGAGCCAGCAGGGGGCAGCCUGGAGUCAGGAAGAGGCUUAGGCCACGCGGCCAAGGACACCUCUCUAGUCCUGUCCCACCCUUCCUUUCCCUGCUCCCGGCUCACCCUGGAAGUCGAAGUCGGUGAGAGAUGGGUUGAUAGCGUCCAGGUCAGUACCGAGGUCUCCAUCUGGCAACAGAGUAUCGUGCAUGGUCCUGGCAGACGAAGGCUCGGUCAGCAGCUUGGCCCCGUGGCUGGGUGGUGUGUGGGCAGGUAGAGAUGAUGGAGCUGAUCCCAAAGAGGGUAAGCUAUGUGGCAUCGGUCACCCACAGAGUGGACCAGGCAGUUGGGUGCAACUUGUAUCCAUGAGGCCAGGUGGACUCCUGUUUACAGAUUGCGGAUGUCUUGGUAAGUCCUAAGGCCUCAACCAGAGUGCCAGGUCCUGCUUCUCAAGAUGGAGAUGGCGGGACUCUGGAGUGUUGAUGGAACCCUGGAAGGAAAUCUCCUGGCUGAGUGAUAAGGAGCUACACCGAGUGGACAAUGGUGGACAACUGUUGGCUUGCUGGGUGCCGAGCUGUGACUCCUGCCACAUGCUGAAGGCUUGAGAAAAAGCAGUCAUGGCUCCUGAAACAGCAGAAGAUCCUGUCUUGGCCACACCUGACACUCCUGGGUGUGUCUCUGUUUUCUCCCUCUUCCUUCCUGAUCGGAGAGGCUAAGGAAGGACUGGAAUGGACCUAUUUGGAAGUAGGAGGUGAAGAAGGCUGGGGGACCCCUGGAGGAGGCAGCGUCCCGGCUGAGUUAUUACAUUGGGGUGCCUUGGGAUCAGAGAUAGCAGGAGGCACGCUCCUCUCUGCUUCCCAAAGCCACACUCCUGACAGGAACCCUUAGCAUGACUUUUCCCACGAGGCUCAGAGAGAUUGAGUGACUUGCCAGAGGUCAUAGGACUUGCAGAUCUGGCUGCGGAAGUGCUAGUCAACCUUCAGAGGUGUCCCCCAGGCACUUAUCCAUAGAAACCUGCUCUGGCCGUAGAAUAGGUCCAGGACCCCACGGGUAAUUCUAGCACUGGCGACACUGAAGCAGGAGAAUCUCCUGUUCAUCGAUGGCCUUAGGUAACAUUGCUAUUUUCUGUCUCACACACAAAAAUAAAUAAAAGCAGGGUCUGGAAGGGGCCUGGAGCUGUCAGUGAAGUCCCCAGU